UGUAGGUGGAAGCAGCGGUGGAGGAGGAGGAUGAGGUAACCAACACUGUUUUUUAUAUAUAUAUAUUUUUUUUAACUGGGGUAGCCCCCCAAAUAUUGGGACAUAUAAAAAUGACAACUCUGUUCCGCAGAGUAGCUGUUGACAUUAUAGUUGCGCAGGCACUUUGUUGACUCUAGAGAACCUCGGACCAAUCGCACAUCCCUGUGACGGCGACUUUGCAUUCGGAUGUCAUCCAUAUAAACUUUCGAUGCCAGUUUCUGCGCCUACCAUGGUGACCACGGGUAACGGGGAAUCAAGGUUCCAUUCCUUAUAGGGACCCUGAGAAACAGCUACCACAUGCAAGGAAGGCAGCA